rfam:Camelus ferus unplaced genomic scaffold scaffold875, whole genome shotgun sequence.
GAGGGUAUAGCUCAAGUGUGGCAGAGCACGUGCUUAGCAUGCACGAGGUCCUGGGUUCAAUCCCCAGUACCUCCA